UGCCAGCCGCCGCGGUAAUACAUAGGGGUCAAGCGUUGUCCGGAUUUACUGGGCGUAAAGCGCACGUAGGCGGAUUGGAAAGUAGGGGGUGAAAUCCCAGGGCUCAACCCUGGAACUGCCUCCUAAACUAUCAGUCUAGAGUUCGAGAGAGGUGAGUGGAAUUCCAAGUGUAGAGGUGAAAUUCGUAGAUAUUUGGAGGAACACCAGUGGCGAAGGCGGCUCACUGGCUCGAUACUGACGCUGAGGUGCGAAAGCGUGGGGAGCAAACAGGAUUAGAUA
rnacentral:rRNA from 1 species